AUUGAACGCUGGCGGCAGGCCUAACACAUGCAAGUCGAACGGUAACAGGAAGCAGCUUGCUGCUUUGCUGACGAGUGGCGGACGGGUGAGUAAUGUCUGGGAAACUGCCUGAUGGAGGGGGAUAACUACUGGAAACGGUAGCUAAUACCGCAUAACGUCGCAAGACCAAAGAGGGGGACCUUAGGGCCUCUUGCCAUCGGAUGUGCCCAGAUGGGAUUAGCUAGUAGGUGGGGUAACGGCUCACCUAGGCGACGAUCCCUAGCUGGUCUGAGAAGAUGACCAGCCACACUGGAACUGAGACACGGUCCAGACUCCUACGGGAGGCAGCAGUGGGGAAUAUUGCACAAUGGGCGCAAGCCUGAUGCAGCCAUGCCGCGUGUAUGAAGAAGGCCUUCGGGUUGUAAAGUACUUUCAGCGGGGAGGAAGGGAGUAAAGUUAAUACCUUUGCUCAUUGACGUUACCCGCAGAAGAAGCACCGGCUAACUCCGUG
rnacentral:rRNA from 1 species